rnacentral:lncRNA from 1 species
AUAUGCCCGUGCGUUGCAACGGAAGAAAAACAUCAAAUGAUCUUAAAAAGUGAUGACAUGAUAUUACAUAUCUAUUUAUAUUUAUCCUUUUUAUAAAAUUUAAAGUUCAUAAUUUAUUUUAUUGAUAACCAUAACAUCUAUGGUAUUAGAUAGUUAAUAUUUACAAUAAUAUGUAGCUUGAAGACAUAUUUAUUUAAUAAUAAAAAUAGAAAUUAGUUAAACCUUAUCUCACUCUAAUAUUACCUUUUAAUAUACCUCAAUAUUAUAUUAAAACAUGAGAAGUUUGAUGCUAGCAUUAUUUUUUUAUUUAGAUUAGGAUUGCUAUGAAAUAUGAAUGAAGCAUCACAUUAAAUAGGCUACCAUAAAAUUUUUAUAAUAAUUGGAGCAAGAUAACUACAAUUUUAAUUUUACACUAAAAAGCAUAGGCAAGCAUUUCCAACAAAAAAAAUGCACUAAAAUUUGUAAUAAUUUUUGUUUACUGCAUGGAUCUAUAUAUGUAGAGCUGAACAAAAUUUGUUUUAUAAUUUUUAGAUUUUUCUAUGAAUUACUACGCAUUUAUCAAUUUUUAGCCGAUUUAAAGAAUAAAAGAAAAGUAAAUUG